rnacentral:rRNA from 1 species
CCCAUUGAUUGACGGUGCUUGCAUCUGAUUGAUUUUGGUUGCCAACGAGUGGCGGACGGGUGAGUAACACGUACGUAACCUGCCCAGAAGUGGGGGACAACAUUUGGAAACAGAUGCUAAUACCGCAUAACAGCGUUGUUCGCAUGAACAACGCUUAAAAGAUGGCUUCUCGCUAUCACUUCUGGAUGGACCUGCGGUGCAUUAGCUUGUUGGUGGGGUAACGGCCUACCAAGGCGAUGAUGCAUAGCCGAGUUGAGAGACUGAUCGGCCACAAUGGGACUGAGACACGGCCCAUACUCCUACGGGAGGCAGCAGUAGGGAAUCUUCCACAAUGGGCGCAAGCCUGAUGGAGCAACACCGCGUGAGUGAAGAAGGGUUUCGGCUCGUAAAGCUCUGUUGUUAAAGAAGAACACGUAUGAGAGUAACUGUUCAUACGUUGACGGUAUUUAACCAGAAAGUCACGGCUAACUACGUGCCAGCAGCCGCGGUAAUACGUAGGUGGCAAGCGUUAUCCGGAUUUAUUGGGCGUAAAGAGAGUGCAGGCGGUUUUCUAAGUCUGAUGUGAAAGCCUUCGGCUUAACCGGAGAAGUGCAUCGGAAACUGGAUAACUUGAGUGCAGAAGAGGGUAGUGGAACUCCAUGUGUAGCGGUGGAAUGCGUAGAUAUAUGGAAGAACACCAGUGGCGAAGGCGGCUACCUGGUCUGCAACUGACGCUGAGACUCGAAAGCAUGGGUAGCGAACAGGAUUAGAUACCCUGGUAGUCCAUGCCGUAAACGAUGAGUGCUAGGUGUUGGAGGGUUUCCGCCCUUCAGUGCCGGAGCUAACGCAUUAAGCACUCCGC